CCUCCCAAUUUCAGCAAAAUUCAUCACCAUACAUUGUGUUAACGCAAAGAUCUUUCCACGCGCCUCAAUCACGUAAAAGCGUGUCCAAUCCUGCACAGUUCAACAGGUCAAUACCAGAAGCUUGACGGCAUAGACCGUCAAGGGAUAGCUUCGGCGUGAGAGUCAAUACAGGCAGAUACAAGGAUAACAAUGGAGGAUAAUAGCUCUAGUGCUUUGAUAAAAAGAAAUAUCAGUUACCUCGUUUAUGUUAUCUUCUGCUAUCAUAUACUACUUCCUUUUUUCUUGCAUGCAGUCGACCUGCCCUCACGUCAGCCUAGUGCACACAUCCCACCGAAUAAUCCCAUCACAGUUUACCGCCGACUAGGCUCUGUCCAAUCUUCAUUAAUGCAUUGCAGGAUAAU
rnacentral:lncRNA from 1 species